rnacentral:rRNA from 1 species
GAUGAACGCUGGCGGCGUGCCUAAUACAUGCAAGUCGAGCGAACGGACGAGAAGCUUGCUUCUCUGAUGUUAGCGGCGGACGGGUGAGUAACACGUGGAUAACCUACCUAUAAGACUGGGAUAACUUCGGGAAACCGGAGCUAAUACCGGAUAAUAUUUUGAACCGCAUGGUUCAAAAGUGAAAGACGGUCUUGCUGUCACUUAUAGAUGGAUCCGCGCUGCAUUAGCUAGUUGGUAAGGUAGCGGCUUACCAAGGCAACGAUGCAUAGCCGACCUGAGAGGGUGAUCGGCCACACUGGAACUGAGACACGGUCCAGACUCCUACGGGAGGCAGCAGUAGGGAAUCUUCCGCAAAGGGCGAAAGCCUGACGGAGCAACGCCGCGUGAGUGAUGAAGGUCUUCGGAUCGUAAAACUCUGUUAUUAGGGAAGAACAUAUGUGUAAGUAACUGUGCACAUCUUGACGGUACCUAAUCAGAAAGCCACGGCUAACUACGUG